CAACUUCUGAAACAUUCAGAAAAAAGUGGCUAAUAGCUGGGGCUAGCUGACAGAAAAGACAAAGACAGCUAUGUGGUUUGGUACAGAUAUCGGUGACUUAAAGGAACACUCCAAACACCAUAACCACUACAAUUCCAUUGUAAGUAGUACAGGGCUUAGCUCCGGAGAGGUAACAGUCUCAGUGGUGGAGACAGGGAGUUGCACCCGGCAGAUCUCAGGUUAGAAGUCAAACCAUUCAAAAAAUGGCUGAGUGGAAGUGGUUAUGGUGCAUGAAGCGUUGCUUAAUUGCAUA